CCAGCUCCAAUAGCGUAUAUUAAAGUUGUUGCCGUUAAAAAGCUCGUAGUUGAACCUUGGCCCUGGCUGAUCUGUCCUCCUAAUCGAGCGCACGGAUUCGGUCGGGGCUUUCCUUCUGGGGAGCCCCAUGCCCUUCACUGGGUGUGGCGGGGAACCAGGACUUUUACCUUGAAAAAAUUAGAGUGUUCAAAGCAGGCCUUUGCUCGAAUACAUUAGCAUGGGAUAAUGGAAUACGACUUCGGUCUUGUUUCGUUGGUUUCGCUUGGCUGAAGUAAUGAUUGAUAGGGACAGUUGGGGGCAUUAGUAUUUAGUUGUCAGAGGUGAAAUUCUAGGAUUUACUAAAGACUGACCAAUGCGAAAGCAUUUGCCAAGGAUGUUUUCAUUAAUCAAGAACGAAAGUAGGGGGAUCGAAGACGGUCAGAUACCGUCGUAGUCUCUACCGUAAACUAUGCCGACCAGGGAUCCGGAGAGUUUGCAUGGAUGACUCCCCGGGCACCUUGUGAGAAAUCAUAAGUGUUUGGGUUUUGGGGGGAGUAUGGUCGCAAGGCUGAAACUUAAAGGAAUUGACGGAAGGGCACCACCAGGAGUGGAACCUGCGGCUUAAUUCGACUCAAC
rnacentral:rRNA from 1 species